UUGGCUACCCACAGUUGGACCGUCACCAGCCCAAGGUUCUUCCCAGGGCAAACCCUGCGCCCAGCCCCAAAGGGUGCGAGCCUCAAGUCACCGCCUCUUACGUCCACCUCAGCUUCCAGGAACCUCUCCGGCUUGAACUCGACCGGGUCUUUCCACACUUUGGGGUCAUGGGUUAUGGCCCACAUGUUCACCAUGGCGGUUGUGUUGGCGGGAACCAGCAUCCCGUUGCUGAGCUGGACGUCCGACGUGGACAGCCUAGCCCAAGAAAGCAAUGGCCCUGGGGGAUGGAUCCGUAGGGUUUCUUUGACCACCGCCUGAAGGUAAGGUAAUUUCGCCAUGUCAGCGUCGGUGAGGGUUUUGUUCCUCGUAGCACUGUCAAUUUCAAGUUGCAGCUUGGCUUGUACUUCCGGGUGCAAUACCAACUCAGCCAUGACCCACUCCGUUAACAAAGCAGUCGUAUCAGUUCCUCUGAAU
rnacentral:lncRNA from 1 species